rnacentral:rRNA from 1 species
UACAGAGGGGGCAAGCGUUAUUCGGAAUUAUUGGGCGUAAAGGGCGCGUAGGCGGCCUGGCAAGUGGAAGGUGAAAUCCCUCGGCUUAACCGAGGAACUGCCCUCCAAACUGCUUGGCUUGAGUCCGGGAGAGGUGAGUGGAAUUCCUGGUGUAGCGGUGAAAUGCGCAGAUAUCAGGAGGAACACCAAUGGCGAAGGCAGCUCUCUGGGACGGUACUGACGCUGAGACGCGAAAGCGUGGGGAGCGAACAGG